rnacentral:rRNA from 1 species
UACGUAGGGGGCAAGCGUUGUCCGGAUUUAUUGGGCGUAAAGAGCGUGUAGGCGGCCAUACAGGUCAGCUGUGAAAACUCGAGGCUCAACCUCGAGACGUCGGUUGAAACCGUAUGGCUAGAGUCCGGAAGAGGAGAGUGGAAUUCCCGGUGUAGCGGUGAAAUGCGCAGAUAUCGGGAAGAACACCUAUGGUGAAGGCAGCUCUCUGGGACGGUACUGACGCUGAGACGCGAAAGCGUGGGGAGCGAACAGG